rnacentral:rRNA from 1 species
GACGAACGCUGGCGGCGUGCCUAAUACAUGCAAGUCGAACGAGAGCGACCGGUGCUUGCACUGGUCAAUCUAGUGGCGAACGGGUGAGUAACACGUGGGUAACCUGCCCAUCAGAGGGGGAUAACAUCCGGAAACGGAUGCUAAAACCGCAUAGGUCUUCGAACCGCAUGGUUUGAAGAGGAAAAGAGGCGCAAGCUUCUGCUGAUGGAUGGACCCGCGGUGCAUUAGCUAGUUGGUGAGGUAACGACUCACCAAGGCCGUGAUGCAUAGCCGACCUGAGAGGGUGAUCGGCCACAUUGGGACUGAGACACGGCCCAAACUCCUACGGGAGGCAGCAGUAGGGAAUCUUCCGCAAUGGACGCAUGUCUGACGGAGCAACGCCGCGUGAGUGAAGAAGGUUUUCGGAUCGUAAAACUCUGUUGUUAGAGAAGAACAAGUGCUAGAGUAACUGUUAGCGCCUUGACGGUAUCUAACCAGAAAGCCACGGCUAACUACGUG